rnacentral:tmRNA from 1 species
GGGGGCGUACCGGUUUCGACGGGGUUCUGGAAAGCCGAAGGGCGUGGCAAGGUGCGGGUCGCCUCUAUCGAUCCAAAUGUAAGCUGCCAACAACAGCAACCACUUCAGCGAGGCCCUCGCGGCUUAGUUGAGGUCCGGGGGGCAUAGCGACCCCCCGGUGUCCGGUUGAGCGUGAUCGAACUCUUCUGGGCAUAUUUCAGAUCCGCAGCAGACCCGGGGCCGAGCACCCGCCGGGCGAGCGAAGAACAAGCAGGAGGCUCUGACGGUGAUCAAAGAUCACGACACUCGCCGAUGAGUUUUCGGCAGGCCACGUAUCUCUGAAACUAGAAGGGGCUUCGGACGCGGGUUCGACUCCCGCCGCCUCCACCA